UUCCCAAACCCUCCACCUCCGACCCUGGCAACAGAUGGAACUGAUGAUGAACUACCAGAAUCCCAGCACUCCAUGACUCUGACCCAGCAUUUUGUCGAAGACAAGAGACCCUCUUGGCCAGCGACAGCUUGGGAGCCAAGAAAACUGCAAGAUACACUACAAGUUCUCCUUCAAAAAGUGGAGACAAUUGAAGCAAGCCAGAGGG